UGUCAUGUGGGAAGAACAAGAGGAAGGCUUUAUGUCCUGUUAUACACUCUCAGAAAAACGGAUAUCUUUCCUUUGUUCCUGUCGUUCUCCUCCCCUGACAAAAGCCGUCCAUCAGCUCUGGCCAGUUUGCAGCCGAGGAAUUCCGCCCCGGCGACAAAUCCACUUUUUUACUGCUCUCGCAGUCAGGAUCCAGUACGAGAGAGAGGUCUCUAAGGGUUACGUGAGACCCUCCAUCGUCCCUAGGAUCUGUGGUGACCUCUACAGUAGAGUGUCUAUAAAAUGGCGGACAGGAGGCUCAUCCAAACACAAACGAGCAUUCCGGACCAGAAGUCCUUUUUCCAAAUAGGUUUUCUGAGCAACUUUCUACAUUUUUUAUUCUUUCGAAAGCCAUGAUUUAAUCAAUGGAUUGUUUUGUUUUUGCUUUAAAUCAUGUUCUACAUGUCUUCCAG
ensembl:lncRNA